rnacentral:misc_RNA from 1 species
UAAAGGCUGACUUAAACCAAAGGACAAUAUUAUAACCUCUAAUUUGGUCUAGAAUUUAGACGCAUUCAUUUUAGCACCGAUCAAAAUCAACUUCAUGACUGAAAUCUAAAUCCGGAUUCAAAGACUAUAAACGUCUGGACUCUGGUGUUGUGGGUUUGGCAUGAAUUCAUCUAAACCAAGAUGAAGACAAAGUUUUUUGUAACAUGUGGCCGAGGCUUGAGCACCUUCGCUGAGCAAGAGAUUAAUGAGAAGGUUCCCAAGGUGCGUGAUAUCCAGCCUCUAGGAGAAGGCAAGUUGUCAUUCACUAUCCACCAGGCUUCAUCUUGGCCCCUGCCUCAAACUUCUGUUAUUAAUGAAAGUGAACAUCCCCAAAAUAUAAAAGAGAAAUUUUCACCAACUCUUGGUCUCAAUAAACCAGAAGAGGAAGCAGAGUAUAUUAAUGCCAUAGCUCCAGUAUUUAAGCUGAAGUUAGUGGAAAGAAUCUUCAUGUUGCUGCACUGUGAACACACUGAUGAUCCUGGUCGGUGCAGUGAAGGUAAAGAUGUUAAUAAUGUCUCAAAUCCAAAGGAAGCAUUUAACCAAGAGACAGCAAGAGUCAAAAAGGAGAAACUUUACUCUGAAGACAUAUGCUGUGAGAGUUUACAAAGUUCUAAGGAAACAUCAAGUUGUGAGAAUACCUUAAGAAAAUGCACAGUACCAUCAGAGAAGAACAUUGCACCUGAGAGUGUUUUAAAUGACUGUGAGAAGAAAUUGAUGAACAUCAUGAACAAUACUGAAUGGGCAGAUGUAGCACAUAGAGUCCAAGUGUUGAGGGUCUACCAUGACCACUUUGCUGGGUGCCGUGUGCUCUGUCACAACCCUGACACAUGUCCAGGGUCUGUUAACAGGAAAAUUGAUAAACAUCAGUUACAGCAGAAGCGUAAAGCCACAUUUCUGUCCUCUGGUUUAACCAAAUAUUGUCAACAUAAAAACAGGAAAAGGAGAUACCUAACUGUAGGUCCUACAGAAAAAUAUUUUCACGGAAAAGAUUUUAAACGUAAAAAAAUAAUUUCUAAUGAAGGAUUAAAUGUUCAUGGUUAUAUUAAGAAAGAAGGUUCAGUCAAUCAAAUUUCAAGAGACCAUUAUCCCUUUAUUCCCAAAAAUAAUGAAAUUAGGAAUGGAGAUGGACUGUUACUUGAUCCAUCUAAAGCUGGUGAUGAAAAACUUCUUGGUUGUAACACAGCAUUGCUAAAUGAACAAGCUUCAUCGGUAUGUACUGCACCAGUUAAAAAUGCUAAACUUCAGGUUACUGAUUUAUGUAGAACUGUUCCAUCAUGUGACAAUGAAAAAUUAUCAUUUAAGAUCACCUCAGAAAGUACAGCGAUGGUGCUAGUGGAAAACGCUGAGACAUUCCCAGUAAAUGAAGCAAGCUUAGCCAAAACCAGAACAGUAUUUGAAAAGAGAGAAGUGGUGCUUAGUAGUGAUGUAGCAAGUAUUUUCAUAUCCCCAAAUAUACCAGAUGAAGGGAUAAGGCAGCAGUGUAGUGUAAAUCAGCACAAAAAAGCAAACAGUAAUGAACAAUCAGUGAGCUUCAGAGUGUCAUGCAGAGUCUCUGGUCUUCACAAGAAUGUACUAACAACUGACUGGCUCACUCAGAAGUUUGUACAGCACUUAAGUCAAGUGAUGGAUGCAUGGGUAACUAAUUGGCAAGAACCUACGAUGGAUAUCUAUGUGAAUGUUACUGAUUCACAUUUUAUUGUAGGUGUAGCACUGGCCCCGAAGCCUCUUUCUCUGCGACGUUAUAUUCCACACAUCACUCUACGAUCUACUGUCUGCAACCUGAUGGCCAGGCUGUCCCAGAUACUUCCUGGUUGUGUGCUCUUAGACCCAAUGUGUGGUGGAGGAACCAUUUUGCUGGAGGCUGUUACAGACUUUAAGUUUUGCAGGUUAGUCAUGUUAUUGCAAGUGACAUGAGCAUAAACCAGCUUGAGGUAGCCAGAUGUAAUCUUAACAGUCUGCACACCCCCGUCAGUCUCUUACAAGCUCCUGCUACUGCACUGCCCCUGCAUGAUGCAUCUAUCAAUGUUGUGCUGUGUGAUUUCCCAUUUGGUAAAAAAUACAAGUUGACAGCUGACAACACACAGUUGCUGAGAGGGGUUCUACUAGAAUGUCAAAG